AUAAUUAACUUCAUCCUAUCUCAUUCAGUAUUUGUACGUGGACACAGAAACAUUAACAAAUUUCAUUGUUGUGUGGAAGUAUACGAACAAUUUUUAUCCAGCAAAUCGGUUACUGAAAUGAUGAAGACAAUAAAUCUUGUGCUUCAAUUCAUGUAGUUGUUGCUCCUUGGUGUUACAAUCAAUUCUUAUUACGUAUAUUCAUAUGUAGUAACAUCACCAUCAAUUUCUGGAACAAAUAUAUCGGGGGGAAUCCUGAAAUCUAAUGAUUCAUUUACCUGAAAUUAAUAAAGUGAAGUUCUUUGGAUUCAAGUAAAUUUCCUCUUGUUGCAACACAUUCAGGUUGUAAUAGAAAGGUCACAAUUAUUUCUAAGAAACUAAGAGAAUAAACUUAAAGCAUUUCUUAGAAAAUAUAUGAGAUAUAAAAUCUGGCUAAAUAUAAGAUGAUUCUUUUCUGUUAUAUUUGUUAACCAGAAUUAACGGUAUGUAAUCGGAGUAACACCAAGGUACACGUAUUUACAGAUUAUUAAAAAUUUAAAGCAAUAA